rnacentral:lncRNA from 10 species
CGCGUAGGACAAGGCAGGAGGAGGGCGGCCCUUAUCGGUUCCCUAUAGGACUGGCUUCGCUGCCGGGGUCGGAGAUUCCUCGGCGCGGAGCUAGGGGCGGGUCCGGAGGCGGAGGCGACAGCGCCCGGCGGGGUACGCGCGGCUGCGACCCCGUCACUCCCCCGCCGCCUCCGCCCCUAACCCUCGGCCCCGUGCGCGAGCGAGCGAGGGAGCGAACGCAGCGCAACAAAACAAACUAGUGCCGGCUUCCUGUUGUGCAACUCGCUCCUGAGUGAGUCGGGGGCCGAAAGGGUGCUGCGGCUGGGAAGCCCGGGCGCCGGGGACCUGCGCGCGCUGCCCGGCCUGGCCGGAGCCUGUAGCCCGGGGGCGCCACGGCCGGGCUCGCAGUCCCCCCACGCCGGCCCCCCGGUCCCCGCCGAGCCAGUGUCCUCACCCUGUGGUUUCCUUUCGCUUCUCGCCUCCCAAACACCUCCAGCAAGUCGGAGGGCGCGAACGCGGAGCCAGAAACCCUUCCCCAAAGUUUCUCCCGCCAGGUACCUAAUUGAAUCAUCCAUAGGAUGACAAAUCAGCCAGGGCCAAGAUUUCCAGACACUUGAGUGACUUCCCGGUCCCCGAGGUGACUUGUCAGCUCCAGUGAGUAACUUGGAACUGUCGCUCGGGGCAAGGUGUGUGUCUAGGAGAGAGCCGGCGGCUCACUCACGCUUUCCAGAGAGCGACCCGGGCCGACUUCAAAAUACACACAGGGUCAUUUAUAGGGACUGGAGCCGCGCGCAGGACAACGUCUCCGAGACUGAGACAUUUUCCAAACAGUGCUGACAUUUUGUCGGGCCCCAUAAAAAAUGUAAACGCGAGGUGACGAACCCGGCGGGGAGGGUUCGUGUCUGGCUGUGUCUGCGUCCUGGCGGCGUGGGAGGUUAUAGUUCCAGACCUGGCGGCUGCGGAUCGCCGGGCCGGUACCCGCGAGGAGUGUAGGUACCCUCAGCCCGACCACCUCCCGCAAUCAUGGGGACACCGGCUUGGAUGAGACACAGGCGUGGAAAACAGCCUUCGUGAAACUCCACAAACACGUGGAACUUGAAAAGACAACUACAGCCCCGCGUGUGCGCGAGAGACCUCACGUCACCCCAUCAGUUCCCACUUCGCCAAAGUUUCCCUUCAGUGGGGACUCCAGAGUGGUGCGCCCCAUGCCCGUGCGUCCUGUAACGUGCCCUGAUUGUGUACCCCUCUGCCCGCUCUACUUGAAAUGAAAACACAAAAACUGUUCCGAAUUAGCGCAACUUUAAAGCCCCGUUAUCUGUCUUCUACACUGGGCGCUCUUAGGCCACUGACAGAAACAUGGUUUGAACCCUAAUUGUUGCUAUCAGUCUCAGUCAGCGCAGGUCUCUCAGUGACCUGUGACGCCGGGAGUUGAGGUGCGCGUAUCCUUAAACCCGCGCGAACGCCACCGGCUCAGCGUAGAAAACUAUUUGUAAUCCCUAGUUUGCGUCUCUGAGCUUUAACUCCCCCACACUCUCAAGCGCCCGGUUUCUCCUCGUCUCUCGCCUGCGAGCAAAGUUCCUAUGGCAUCCACUUACCAGGAAGAAAAUUCAAAGACUUUAUGCAAUGCUUAGAAUAAGGAGGAGAGCCUGUCUGCGCCCUGCUCCAGUGACCCUCUCCUGUCUGACACCCACUACUAAACCAGGGCAGGAAACCCUACUUCCACCAGACAUGUAUUUGUUUAUUCACUCAGGCAGGUGGUAUGUUGGAAGAAGAGUGGACUUUGGAAUCAGAAAACCUGGAAUCCCAACUUCACCGCUAACCGAGAGACCUUGAGCUGGUUCCUAAACCACGGGGAACUUCAGUUCCACUACAUGAGUUAUUGCAAAGGUUGAAUCGGAAUUGUGACACUGGCCAGCACACGUGUGAAACCAGGGGCAUCCCCUAUUGAUAAGGAGCCCAGCCCAAGAGCUUCAAGGGAAAUUGACCCCAGCCCCAGCUCCACUGAUGGGCUCGAUGAUUCAGAGAGGAAUCUCACUCCCUUGGUCAAAGUGAAUGGCUCAUAAAUCUGGGCCUAAGUCAAUCCGUGCAAGACAUUCCCCUGGCCAUAGGGAUUGGUUAAAAAAUGGACAUGUAACCCAGUUUGGGCUAAAUGAGAUGUGAACAGGAAAGUUAUUUGAUAGCUUCUGAGGAAGGUAGCUUCUCUUCUUUCUAGAGAGCCACUGGAAAGGUAGCCUUUUCUCCUCUGUGUUGUGGAGAGAAAAAAAAAGUGAAACUGUCUCCCUCUCAGCCCACACAGAAGGCUCACACUUGGUGAAGGGAAGGGUGGAGAAGAUUACAGAGAAUAGCCCUGAUGGAACCACACCUGAUUUCUACCUGACCUCUUAAUUUUUUCAUUUGUACAAGUCAGUAAAUGCCUUUUAAUUUUUAAACAAAUAAUUACAGCAACUUAUAGAGGUACCUAAGGUAUUAAGUUACCAUCAUGAAUACAAAGAUAAGCAAGACAAACUUCAAGGGGCUCACCACCUAAUAAAUAUUAUACUUUGCUUUUAUGACAUCAUUUUAGUCUUUUUUGUUGUUUUUUGUUUUUGUUUCUAAAUAGGAUCUUGCUUUAUCACCCAAACUGUAAUGCAGUGGUGUGAUCAUAGCUCACUACAGCCCCGACCUCCUGGGCUCAAGUGAUCCUCUUGCCUCAGCCUCCUAAGGAGCUGGGACUACAGGUGCGUGCCCAGCUAAUUUCUUUUAUUUUUGUAGAGGCAGGGGGGUCUCGCUAUGUUGCCCAGGCUGUGGGUUUUUCAGGGUAAAGUUAUGGCUCAUUCUCUCUUCAGGACCCUGCUACCAUUUGGUCAAUUUAAUAUUAUGCAAGAGAAAUUCCAUUUCCCUAGUAGUUACACAAUGCCCGCUUUCAGACCAGCUAGUCAACCCUGUGAGGGUCAGAUAGAGUAGUUUAUCCAUUUGGUUGUCAGACAACUGCCUCGAACAGCCAGGCCAUUUCUACAUGUUCUCAGUUACUGGUUAACAAAUGUUGCCCCAGAAUUCAGCACCUAAUAGGAAAUACAUUCAUUUCCAAAUUCCUACUGAAAUAGGAUUUUUCUCAUUCCUAGAUAAAACAGAGGCACCCAGAUUUUCCUGGAAUGGCAUUCAGAAAUAGAGAAGGAAUCAUAGAGAAAUGUCUGCCCAGGCAUCUCUGAGUCUCAUGCCUUUUUGCUGUUGCUGCUGUUAUGACUCCUACCUUGGAAAGUUUCAGUCAUCCUUGAACAUCCUCCCCACCCCCAUGCUUUCCUGUCUUCUGUUUCAUAACUAAAUGCCAUUUAAAACUCUAGCUAUAGAUACCCCUUGCUGAUAUAAGCAACAGAAGUAGAGAGUCCUUAGAUUCUAGACUGAAUUUAGGGCCCAACAGUUAGACAAUUGGAACUUGAUAAUAACGUUAUCUCAGCAGAUUGCGUAAGUCAGAAAUGUUCUCCCUGUCACUGCUUUCUUUUUCCUUCCAGCAAGAAGUGGACAUUAAGGAGAAAGUGAAGGUGGCAAGUUAUGAGUGAUCUGUUUAAGACACAGUUUAGUUAUGGCAAUGAUAACAACUCACAUUUAUUAGGGGCUUAUUAUGUAUCAGGCUGAGCAAAGUACGUAAGAUUCUUGAUCUCAUUUAAUUCUCACAGUGUAGAGGCUAAUGAGUGGUGGAGGUGAGAGGAGGACGCAGCCUCCCUUGGCUCCAGGGCACACACUCUUAGCUGUAACACUCUAUUGCCUCCAUAAAGUAUGCUUAAU